GACGAACGCUGGCGGCGUGCCUAAUACAUGCAAGUAGAACGCUGAAGGAGGAGCUUGCUUCUCUGGAUGAGUUGCGAACGGGUGAGUAACGCGUAGGUAACCUGCCUGGUAGCGGGGGAUAACUAUUGGAAACGAUAGCUAAUACCGCAUAAUAGCAGUUGUUGCAUGACAACUGUUUGAAAGGUGCAAAUGCAUCACUACCAGAUGGACCUGCGUUGUAUUAGCUAGUUGGUGGGGUAAAGGCUCACCAAGGCGACGAUACAUAGCCGACCUGAGAGGGUGAUCGGCCACACUGGGACUGAGACACGGCCCAGACUCCUACGGGAGGCAGCAGUAGGGAAUCUUCGGCAAUGGACGGAAGUCUGACCGAGCAACGCCGCGUGAGUGAAGAAGGGUGUCGGAUCGUAAAGCCCUGUUGUAAGAGAAGAACGAGUGUGAGAGUGGAAAGUUCACACUGUGACGGUAGCUUACCAGAAAGGGACGGCUAACUACGUG
rnacentral:rRNA from 1 species